UUGAACGCUGGCGGCAUGCCUUACACAUGCAAGUCGAACGGCAGCACGGGAGCAAUCCUGGUGGCGAGUGGCGAACGGGUGAGUAAUAUAUCGGAACGUGCCCAAUCGUGGGGGAUAACUACGCGAAAGCGUAGCUAAUACCGCAUACGCCCUGAGGGGGAAAGCGGGGGACCUUCGGGCCUCGCGCGAUUGGAGCGGCUGAUGUCGGAUUAGCUAGUUGGUGGGGUAAAGGCCUACCAAGGCGACGAUCCGUAGCUGGUCUGAGAGGAUGAUCAGCCACACUGGGACUGAGACACGGCCCAGACUCCUACGGGAGGCAGCAGUGGGGAAUUUUGGACAAUGGGGGCAACCCUGAUCCAGCCAUUCCGCGUGAGUGAAGAAGGCCUUCGGGUUGUAAAACUCUUUCGGCAGGAACGAAACGGUGAGCUCUAACAUAGCUUGCUAAUGACGGUACCUGAAGAAGAAGCACCGGCUAACUACGU
rnacentral:rRNA from 1 species